GACGAACGCUGGCGGCGUGCUUAACACAUGCAAGUCGAGCGGUAAGGCCCUUUCGGGGGUACACGAGCGGCGAACGGGUGAGUAACACGUGGGUGACCUGCCCUCAGCUCUGGGAUAAGCCUGGGAAACUGGGUCUAAUACUGGAUAUGACUCCACGGUGCAUGUCGUGGGGUGGAAAGCCUUGUGCGGCUGAGGAUGGGCCCGCGGCCUAUCAGCUUGUUGGUGGGGNGAUGGCCUACCAAGGCGACGACGGGUAGCCGGCCUGAGAGGGCGGACCGGCCACACUGGGACUGAGACACGGCCCAGACUCCUACGGGAGGCAGCAGUGGGGAAUCUUGCGCAAUGGGCGAAAGCCUGACGCAGCGACGCCGCGUGAGGGAUGACGGCCU
rnacentral:rRNA from 1 species